rnacentral:pre_miRNA from 2 species
UCUUAUGGAUGAGCACAGAAAGUGGUUUCUUGAGAGAGAAUCUAGUCUAGGUGAAGGUGCUGUGAA